UCCACUCCACUAAUUAGUGGUUAAUUAUAGAACCUUUUAAUGGAUUUGUGAAGGAAUACCAUAAAAGUGAGGCUUUUGAUCUCCGAUGGAAAAAGAAAUUUUGGUUGAAUUGUCGGUGGCGGCGCCACCGUAAGUCCUCUCGCACGACGGGCACAUACUAAGUGUCGCAGCCGAUAAUUGAACACGAAAGGGUUGUGAUUUUUUCAAAGAUUUCAAGUCAUGUAUUUCCUUAUUUAGCCUUCUGUUUUCGUCUUUUAAGUCUUCGUAACAUUUUCGAAGAAUUUCACAAUCCACUUCUGUUUGUUUCAGUUUUGUCCUGGCUCUUCGAUUUUGAAACCAUACUUCCACUUGUCGAGGACGUAAGCUUAAUCGUCUUGCUAAAUCUCUCUUUUGCUUAGAAUUAAGAGUAGUAUGCUCUUUGAAGCUAUCUUCUAAAACAUCAGAUUGCUCCUUAGUAAGUCUAAGUUUCUUCCUGGUACCAUAAUCAUCAUCAUCAUUAUGAUCAACUAAUCCCUUUG
rnacentral:misc_RNA from 1 species